rnacentral:rRNA from 1 species
AGCGAACGCUGGCGGCAGGCUUAACACAUGCAAGUCGAACGGGCACUUCGGUGUCAGUGGCAGACGGGUGAGUAACACGUGGGAACGUACCUUUUGGUUCGGAACAACUGAGGGAAACUUCAGCUAAUACCGGAUAAGCCCUUACGGGGAAAGAUCUAUCGCCGAAAGAUCGGCCCGCGUCUGAUUAGCUAGUUGGUAGGGUAAUGGCCUACCAAGGCGACGAUCAGUAGCUGGUCUGAGAGGAUGAUCAGCCACAUUGGGACUGAGACACGGCCCAAACUCCUACGGGAGGCAGCAGUGGGGAAUAUUGGACAAUGGGCGAAAGCCUGACGCAGCCAUGCCGCGUGAAUGAUGAAGGUCUUAGGAUUGUAAAAUUCUUUUACCAGGGACGAUAAUGACGGUACCUGGAGAAAAGCCCCGGCUAACUUCGUGCCAGCAGCCGCAGUAAGAC